UACGUAGGGUGCGAGCGUUGCCCGGAUUUAUUGGGCGUAAAGGGCGCGUAGGCGGCCACGCACGUCCGUUGUGAAAUCGCCCGGCUCAACUGGGCGGGGUCAGCGGAUACGGUGUGGCUCGAGCAAGCUAGGGGGCAAUGGGAAUUCCCGGUGUGAGUGGUGGGAAUGCGUAGAUAUCGGGAGGAACACCAGUGGCGAAGGCGGUUGCCUGGAGCUUUGCUGACGCUGAGGCGCGAAAGCGUGGGGAGCGAGUCGG
rnacentral:rRNA from 1 species